AGCACGUAGGUGGGUUUGUAAGUCAGAUGUGAAAGCCUUCUGUUCAACGGAAGAAUUGCAUCUGAAACUACAAAUCUUGAGUGUAGGAGGGGAGAAUGGAACUUCUGGUGGAGCGGUGAAAUGCGUAGAUAUCAGAAGGAACGCCGGCGGCGAAAGCGAUUCUCUGGCCUACUACUGACACUCAGUGUGCGAAAGCUAGGGGAGCAAACGGGAUUAGAUACCCCGGUAGUCCUAGCUGUAAACGAUGGGCACUAAGUAGAGGGGUUUU
rnacentral:rRNA from 1 species